rnacentral:rRNA from 1 species
CCUUCGGGGUACUCUAGCGGCGAACGGGUGAGUAACACGUGAGCAACCUGCCCUAGGCUUUGGGAUAACCCUCGGAAACGGGGGCUAAUACCGAAUAUGACCUCGCAUCGCAUGGUGUGUGGUGGAAAGUUUUUCGGCCUGGGAUGGGCUCGCGGCCUAUCAGCUUGUUGGUGGGGUGAUGGCCUACCAAGGCGACCACGGGUAGCCGGCCUGAAAGGGCGACCGGCCACACUGGGACUGAAACACGGCCCAAACUCCUACGGAGGCAGCAGUGGGGAAUAUUGCCAAUGGGCGGAAGCCUGAUGCAGCGACGCCGCUGAGGGAUGACGCCUUCGGUUGUAAACCUCUUUCAGCAGGGACGAAGCGUAAGUGACGGUACCUGCAGAAGAAGCGCCGGCCAACUACUGCCAGCAGCCGCGGUAAGACGUAGGGCGCGAGCGUUGUCCGGAUUUAUUGGGCGUAAAGAGCUCGUAGGCGGCUUGUUCGCGUCGACCGUGAAAACCUGGGGCUCAACCCCAGGCCUGCGGUCGAUACGGGCAGGCUAGAGUUCGGUAGGGGAGACUGGAAUUCCUGGUGUAGCGGUGAAAUGCGCAGAUAUCAGGAGGAACACCGGUGGCGAAGCGGGUCUCUGGGCCGAUACUGACGCUGAGGAGCGAAAGCGUGGGGAGCGAACAGGAUUAGAUACCCUGGUAGUCCACGCUGUAAACGGUUGGGCGCUAGUGUGGGGGGCCUCUCCGGUUCCCUGUGCCGCAGCUAACGCAUUAAGCGCCCCGCCUGGGGAGUACGGCGCAAGCUAAAACUCAAAGGAAUUGACGGGGCCCGCACAAGCGGCGGAGCAUGCGGAUUAAUUCGAUGCACGCGAGACCUUACCUGGGUUUGACAUGGCCGCAAAACCUCCAGAGAUGGGGGGUCCUUCGGGGGCGGUCACAGGUGUGCAUGGCUGUCGUCAGCUCGUGUCGUGAGAUGUUGGUUAAGUCCCGCAACGAGCGCAACCCUCGUUCCAUGUUGCCAGCGCGUUAUGGCGGGGACUCAUGAAGACUGCCGGGGUCAACUCGGAGGAAGGUGGGGAUGACGUCAAGUCAUCAUGCCCCUUAUGUCCAGGGCUUCACGCAUGCUACAAUGGCCGGUACAAUGGGCUGCGAUACCGUGAGGUGGAGCGAAUCCCAAAAAGCCGGUCUCAGUUCGGAUCGGGGUCUGCAACUCGACCCCGUGAAGUCGGAGUCGUUAGUAAUCGCAGAUCAGCAACGCUGCGGUGAAUUCGUUCCCGGGC